GUCGCUAUCGUCUAGUGGUUUAGGACACUUCGUUGUGGCCGAAGAAACGCGCGUUCGAUUCGCGCUAGCGACA